ensembl:antisense Gm15491 predicted gene 15491
GGCUCUCUUGGUUCAAGAACGCUAAAGCAGCCGCCGCGCCGGCCGCCAUGCUGAAACGGCCGUGAGCGCCCCGCCCCCCGCCUCAGCCAGUUCCGGUCCCGCCCAUUAAAGGAGCCGCGCUCGCCACACGAAGCAGGGAGGAGCAGUCGUGGAGCAGUCGUCGCCUCUUCCACGAGGACAGCCAUGUCUCCAAAGAACAGAGACAUUUCAUCCAGCACACCAAGGAGAGUAAAGAGAGUGAACUUCGUUGCUCUUAGGUGAGAAAUGCAACCACACUGGAUGCAGAAAAUAGUGCUGACUCCAUUUAUUUAAGAAUCUCUCCCUAGAGAGCCCCACGUAAGAGGCCCUGACCCUAACACAAGACCCAAAGAGGAGCACACCACAAGCUGCACGGGGUAUGCAGCAAUACUAUCUUCUCCCAACCAGUGAGCAUCUGAGAAGGUGAUGGGUGCGCUUUACAGUCAUCUUUGUUUCCAAGUCAACUGGCUGAUCUGCUGCCGCUCCAGCUCCAGACACUGAACUGUGUGAAGACCUCAACCACCAACCACAAGGCGGAGUUAAGGGACUUUUGGACAGUUCACAGUACCAACAAGUGUCACAGGCUUCGACCAAGUAUAACCACAUCCUUUGGAAAUCCUUCCAUUUUUGCAAUUUCAAAACAGCCUAACUUGCUGUAAAAUUCCAGAAUCCUUUUAUCAUCUGGUCUUACUUCACAGAAAGCCCCCCGGGAGCCUAGAAAUAAAACAAAUGUUUUAAAUGUAA